rnacentral:rRNA from 1 species
UACGUAGGGGGCAAGCGUUGUCCGGAAUUAUUGGGCGUAAAGAGCGUGUAGGCGGCCAGAUAAGUCCGCUGUGAAAUCUCGAGGCUCAACUUCGAGCUGUCGGUGGAAACUAUCUGGCUAGAGUCCGGAAGAGGAGAAUGGAAUUCCUGGUGUAGCGGUGAAAUGCGUAGAUAUCGAGAGGAACACCUGCGGCGAAGGCGGGUUGCUGGGCCGACACUGACGCUGAUGCGCGAAAGCCAGGGGAGCGAACGGG